ensembl:lncRNA
GAACGAUGUAUAAAAAAAUAAAUAUGACGUAGUAGUCUAGAGUUUAGAGUUUGGACAUGUAGUAGAGGCGCAGUGUUAAAGAUGUGACUGAGGGAAAUUCCACGCUGGCAAGGCAUUCACAAGAUGGCAGACACUCCCACACGACAGCUGUAAAGGAAAGUGGAGAGAGUGGGAGCCAACUCGAGUGCCUUCUGUAAGAGGCUGGAAGCCACUUCCCUCACAACUGCAGGAGAAGCCAAGGAGUUCCGAGUGCCAGCCAAUGACAUUCUGACAAGGGUGUGAACAAAGUGGAGAACAAGCAAUGGAGCAAUGGAGUAGUUAUUGUGUAUGCGAUGCAACCUAGCAUAUCUACAGUGGGCUCUGUCAUGAUAUAGGAGAUUUUUUACUGUUUACCUUGAAAUGUGACCGGAAAAGACUGCCCCAUCAUCUCAAACCCCUUAAAUUUGCCCCAAAUGUGUGAAGCCAGCCUUCCUAAACAGGGCACCACAGAGCCUGUAACAGCCUCUGUAACAUGACAUCAGCAAAGGAUUCAGGAGGAGUAAGUGGCACAGCAGGGCUACACAUGUGGAGAAUGGAUGGAUAAAGAAUGGAGCAAAAACAAGUUUGGAAAUGUCACACAAAAGGAAAACCUGUAAUUGCUUUGUAAAAAGGAUUUUCAGUGAAGACAUUUUUAAGGAUUAGACCAUUUACAUGAGCUCUGCGGGCUUAAUUGUUUUUUUUUUUUUUUUUUUUUUUUUUUGUGAAUAUUUCACUUUUGCCUAAUUGCUUUUAAAUGUUCCUAUUAUUUUGUUAUUGCCCCAGUCACCCGAGGGCAAAUCUCCCUUAGCCUUAUGCUGCAUUCACAUGCAAAUCAUGAUGUGUUUGAAACACAUUAAAAGAAAAAUGAAUAUUACCAGUGUUCACUUAAUCACAAUAACAAAAGGGAACUUCUGCUCAUAAUAACACAGAGUGUCAAUUCUCCUUAAAGAAGUUUCCUUAGUCACAGUCACAACCAUUUGAUUCCCAAACCUUGCACAAGCUUUUUGUGUUUUCUUUGCAUGAGACAAGACAUUCAUUCGCAAAUGGUUGUCUUGUGUUUCCUCAUAUGUCAAUACAUAUGUGCGCCCCAGGGCUGGUAAUUUGUGACGUCUUCUCAUAUGCCAGUUUUGCCCUGUGGGUAGCUAUUAAGACAAGACCUCACAUAACACUCCACCCACUGCAUAUCUCCUCUCCCUCUCAUUGUUUCAUCUGUAUGUGAUGUCUUCUCUUUUCUGAAGAGGUCCAUCAAUCAGCAGGCACAAAAAAAAGUAUUAUAUCUAUUUUUGGGCAUAUGUUUGUGCCAUGUAGUUUUUUGUGGCUGGCUAAUGAUGUUCAUAGUGAAAUGGCUAACUUUCCAUUCAAACAAGAUUGUUGGUUUGUUGGUUCACUGACAUGUGUUCAUGUGCAUGUGUGUGAGACUUUUAAACAUAAAAUCGACCUGCUUGAUAAAACAAUGUAAUAUGUUAGAAAGGUAUUGAUUUUAACUUUAUGUGUGCUCCUGGAAAUUGAAUUGUACUUAAGCAUCACCACUGCCGAUCCAUGCCAAUUCAGCAGGGAUACAUUAACAUUAUGUACUUGUACCACUGGAAAGGGACAACAUCACAAGAACAAGGGGCAACAAUAUGAAGCUGAAGAAACAUCACGGCAAAACAAUCAGGAGAUAUUUCUUUACAUGAGAGAGUAGUCCAUCCUCGGAAAUCUCCACCAACCCAAAUGGCCCAAGCACCAAGUCUGAAAAAAAUAGACUAAGCCGACUGGACUGGACUGGAG